rnacentral:rRNA from 1 species
CACAUGCAAGUCGAGGGGCAGCAUGGACCCAGCUUUGCUGGGUUUGAUGGCGUCCGGCGCACGGGUGAGUAACGCGUAUCCAACCUGCCCUUUACUCCGGGAUAGUCUCCUGAAAGGGAGUUUAAUACCGGAUGUGUUUGUCUUUCCGCAUGGGAGCGACAAAUAAAGAUUGAUUGGUAAAGGAUGGGGAUGCGUCCCAUUAGCUUGUUGGCGGGGUAACGGCCCACCAAGGCGACGAUGGGUAGGGGUUCUGAGAGGAAGGUCCCCCACAUUGGAACUGAGACACGGUCCAAACUCCUACGGGAGGCAGCAGUGAGGAAUAUUGGUCAAUGGGCGGGAGCCUGAACCAGCCAAGUAGCGUGAAGGAUGACGGCCCUACGGGUUGUAAACUUCUUUUAUAAGGGAAUAAAGUUCGCCACGCGUGGUGUUUUGUAUGUACCUUAUGAAUAAGCAUCGGCUAAUUCCGUGCCAGCAGCCGCGGUAAUACGGAAGAUGCGAGCGUUAUCCGGAUUUAUUGGGUUUAAAGGGAGCGUAGGCGGGCUUUUAAGUCAGCGGUCAAAUGCCACGGCUCAACCGUGGCCAGCCGUUGAAACUGCAAGCCUUGAGUCUGCACAGGGCACAUGGAAUUCGUGGUGUAGCGGUGAAAUGCUUAGAUAUCACGAAGAACUCCGAUCGCGAAGGCAUUGUGCCGGGGCAGCACUGACGCUGAGGCUCGAAAGUGCGGGUAUCAAACAGGAUUAGAUA